UUAAUAGAAAAAUUGAAAUGUGGAAUCAAUUUCAUUCUUUAGCUUCAGAGAAACUGCUGGGAGUGUGGAGGGAAAUGGAGCAGACUGCCGGCAGCUGCGGUCAGCCCAAAGUGAGUGAACUUGAGGAGGAGAUGAUGCACCUGCAA